CACCGGGACGGGAAUGCCCGCUGGAGCUGGGGGAGACCCCGGUCAGCCCUGCGGGACAGGGAGUGACUCUGCCCCUCUGCCCAGCCCUGUCAGGCACAUCUGGAGUGCUCUGUCCAGCUCUGGGUUCCUCAGCACAGCAGGGACGGGGAGCUCCUGGAGCGGGGCCAGCGAAAGCUGAGGGGCUGAGGAAGGGCCUGGAGGGCCUCGGUGCUCAGGAAAGCUGAGGGAGCUGGGGCUGCUCAGCCUCGAGAGGAGCCCGCAGCCCUGGGUGUCCCUGUGUGCAGGGAGGGGCAGAGCUGGAUCCAGGCUCUGCUCUGGGGGCCCAGAGCCACGGGCAGGGCCUGAGCCCAGAGACUUCCACCUGGACACCAGGCAGAACUUUACCAGCACUGGAACAGACUCUCCAGAGAGGGAGUAGAGUGUCCCUGUUACACUUUUACAUGACAAAGAAAGUGUCCCUCAUGUUAACAUGACCAUAGUGUGUCACUGGCUGCGUGCACUGCCCGUGGAUGAGGAUUUGCCUUGUGGUGAUCCAGUUCUCUUUUGUAUGAUCAUCCUUUGUAUGAUCCCGUUGUCGUCAUCAUCAGCUGUGUUUGGGUCAGGCUGCAAGCAGGAUCUGCAGUGUCCUCGUGAAGAUUUGAAAUACAGCUUGCUCCUUCAAAACAGCUCAAGUUUGGUCAAACCCACAGAGAACAGGAAAGCUCGCAGAGGGUGGAGGCAUGUCAGCACAGUGUGGUACACUCUAAAAUAUCAGCUGAAAUGACUAGGCUGGAGAAGUGGGAGGACUGAUAUUAGUCACAGCCGCUGCACAGCUCAGAAGAUGAAGGCUGGAGGAAUUACCGGACAGGCAUCUGCCACUCUGCCCAGACUCUGAAAACGUCUAUCUGGGCUUCAGAUCUCUUCAGCCUUCCUUCAGAAUGCCCCUCUUCCCCUUUCACUGUGACGCUCACUGCCUUGGCCACGCAGAGCAGCUGUGAUGUUAGAGAGUAGUUGAGUUCACCCCACAAACUGUACCAGCAACUUCCAUCUGGGAUCCCUGUGCUCCAGCCUUUUAUUCCGUGUCCCACUGGACAAGCUGCCACCAUCCAGCUCCAUGAGCUUCAGAGGGAUGAGGAUCUGUGCUGAGGUCACAGGGAGGUGUUUGCUGGGCUCUCCUCCUGCAGCAGCUCUGUGUCUGCACAGUGGGGCAGUGAUGCAUUCCCAUUUCCCAGCCCCUGUUCCCUCACCAUUCCUGGCACUCACAGCUCUCUGCACGUGGCCUGUCCUGCACAGAAGCCCUGGAUUUGUCCUGGUGACCACAACACACAACUGGGAUGAACUGGGAUGUCAGCACCAUGUCAGGCUCUGGGACUGCAGUGGUACCAAAUUAAUUUGGUUCAAGAAAAGGGGCAGUGUGUGCUCUGGGUGUGUGAGUUCCCCAGUUAUCACAGAAGAAAGCUUUCUGAACACCAGCAUUGUUCUAACAUGAUGAAUAUUUGCUUUGGUGUCUGCAGCUGAGGGAUUUUGAAGCAUUUUACACACUCCAGCUCACCUCUGUGUGCUCAUCUUGCUCACCCAGUGCAUCUGAAACCAUUGUUUAAACCUACUUUAUAUGCAGAAAGUGGGGUGACCUGACAAAUUUUGCAAGAAACAGCUGGUGUCAGCCACAAACUGAGCUCAGGAGCUUUCUUCUCCAGUUCAUGUAAAGUUCUUGUCCUGCAAAAAAUCCUGAAGCCAAAUGACUAAGAGAAAUGCAGAUCACACAGCAUUAUUUUGUCCUGGGGGGAGCACGGAUACUUCCAAAUUUCUGUACAAGGCUGAGCACAUCCCAUUUUGCCCAAACUAUCAAUUUUUGAUAGUUUUUAAGCCCAGGCUGUGUGCCUCGUGCCAGGUAUUGGUUGUGCUGGGCAGGUCAUGGGGACAGUUGGGUUUGAGCCAAGCCCCAAACACCCUGAGGAGCAGGACAGAGCUGGGCCCUGCUUUGUCCAGGUUUUGGUGGAGUGUGUCCUCCUGCUCAUUCAGAGAUGGGAGGAGGUUUGUACUCAGAUGAACUCCUCAAAAAAUACAAACACCACUUUGCUGUCAGACCCUCUACUCAGCCUGGAGAGGUUUGCGGGAUACAGACCCCUGAUGUAGCUGAAUUGUUACCAGAAGGUGUUUCAUUAAAUAGCCCAGAUCUGCCUCUGUUCUAUGCUGGUUUAUCUCCCUGCAGUGUAUCUGAUAAUCUUAUAUAUCACAUUUAACCAAGCCAAAAAUAAAACCUGCAGCAGACCUUCCUGAUUGUCUGUGACUGUCUGGAGAAGUGAUUUCCUCAGCCCUGUGAACUGGUGUGGAUUUGUUCUUACCCAGCUUUCAGCCUGUUUGCCACGUGCAAAUACUUCCUUAGUACUUGCUCCUCCAGAAACAUUUUAAUGUCAGCUAUCAUACCUUUUUCUUUGAAAGAAAAAAAAAAAGUCACGAUCAUUUACUCUAAUUUUCUGACAAAUUCUGAAAGUAAUUUUUGGAAUUGUACCAUUCCUCUGCCCUAAUUGGGUGCCUGGAAAGCAUCUUAACAGCUGUCAAGAAUUCUCAGGUGAGUAAAAUACAGUAUGAAAGCUCAUGAAAGUUAUAAGUGAGCUGUACUAGCUGAUGUUAUUAAAUCAUUUCAUUGGUUAGAACAUCCAGAGUAGUUCACCCUUCCCUCCAGGCUGGCCACUGAUUUUUUUAUAGCUUAUAUUGAAAUCUGCUUCCCAAACCAUUAUUUUCAGGAUGAUAAAGGUGAUAGCAGCCAAAGAAAAAAGACCCUCUCACCUUUCAUGGUGAAACUUGUCCUCCUAAAUGCAUUUGUUUGCUUUUAUGAUUUAUUUUCUUUUGAUCAGAACCAUCUGACCCUCGUGUUUAAAGGAAUGUUCUUUGCAGUUUUGAAGUCU